ensembl:snoRNA small nucleolar RNA SNORA42/SNORA80 family
GCAUGGCAAUGGAUUUACGGUGGGCCCUGCUCUGUAGGCCUCUCAUAGUGUACCCAUGCCAGAAGAAACUGCAGCCCCGAAUCAUUGCCCCACCCCUUACCGAUGGGCUGUGAGCACUGAAGGGGAGUGCACAGUU